CCUACGGGAGGCAGCAGUGAGGAAUAUUGGUCAAUGGCCGUAAGCCUGAACCAGCCAAGUAGCGUGCGGGAUGAAGGCUCUAUGGUUUGUAAACUGCUUUUACACGGGGAUAACACCCUCCACGUGUGGAUAUCUGCAUGUACCCUACGAAUAAGCAUCGGCUAAUUCCGUGCCAGCAGCCGCGGUAAUACGGAAGACCCGAGCGUUAUCCGGAUUUAUUGGGCUUAAAGGGAGCGUAGGUGGGGGGUUAAGGCAGGUGGGAAAGUCUGCGGCUCAACCGGAGACCCGCAGUUGAAACUGGAAGUCUUGAGUACAGUAGAGGCAGGCGGAAUUCGUGGUGUAGCGGUGAAAUGCAUAGAUAUCACGAGGAACUCCGAUUGCGAAGGCAGCCUGCUGGGCUGCGACUGACGCUGAGGCUCGAAGGUGCGGGUAUCAAACAGGAUUAGAUACCCGGGUAGUC
rnacentral:rRNA from 1 species